rnacentral:rRNA from 1 species
AGAAUCAACGCUGGCGGCGUGCCUAACACAUGCAGGUCGAACGCGAAAGUCCCGAAAGGGAUAAGUAGAGUGGCAAACGGGUGAGUAACACGUGGGUGACCUGCCUUCAAGUGGGGGAUAACGUCCCGAAAGGGACGCUAAUACCGCAUAACAUGCUGCCUUUUAACAGGCGGACAUCAAAGCUGGGGAUCGCAAGACCUAGCGCUAGAAGAGGGGCCCGCGCCUGAUUAGCUAGUUGGUGGGGUAAUGGCUCACCAAGGCGACGAUCAGUA